GUGUUGCUCAGUGGUAGAGUGCUUGUUUAGCAUGUGCAAGAGACUCUGGGUUCGAUCUCCAGCAC
rnacentral:tRNA from 1 species